UACCUACAACAUCUAAAGCUACAAAAACGUCGUUUUAAAAAUCGAGGUAUAAAUUCAUCAUGAACAAUAUCAAAAAUGCUUACAUAAAUAAAACAACAGCCAUCGUAUUUUAUCAUUAUACGCUCAAAAACACGUUAGCGUUGAAGAAAAAUGAUGAACUUUAUUUACAACGACGAAUAGGCCCUGUGCGCACGCUUCACCGUAGACGCCGCCGACGGAGAGAGGAUGAAAAUUCAAAAAACUCUCAAGUCGAAAUACCUUACUACGUUGACUGAGCAUUACUUAGUAUCACACGUAUCGCGUGCCGGCAAAGUUGAUGCUUUCAAAGUGAUGACGAAUGGUUUACGAAAAUGUAUUAAAAAUAACGAAAAUUUCCUCGGUACAGGGGGAAAUUUUCGAUCAAAUUUUAAACGAUGAAUUGCUAUUUUUUUUUGAAACAACGCGAUGUAAAUUUUUUUGCGAUAAAAUUUUUUUAAAAUGAAUAAUUUGCUGUAUAAAGCGAGCGAUAUUUGGCAAAAAUAUAUAUUAAAAUUAUCCAUAGAACGGUAUCGUAAUUAUUUUCGUAAAAAGAUGAAAAUCGUUAAAAAAUUCGAGACGAUUGGUUUAAAUUUGUGUGAAAGCUGUAACCUUAUUUCGUACCGGGAUCAAGAAAACGUCGAAUGGAAUAGGUCAGGAAUACUACUAGUCACUUCGAUUUUAAUUACCAUGAUAAUGAUGACGAUAGCUAUUUUCGACGGAUUUCCAGCGCCGAUGAUGGGAUGCGCGGCUAAAACGUGUUUUACGGAUAUCAUGUUGCCGCCAACGAAGCAAAGCUCAUUUCAUCAGAAAACUGUCGAUAAUCAAGACGGGUACGAUCACCAAGAAGAAAUAGUCACAGCUAGCAGAUGGAUGUCAUCGAAAUUAUAUUUAUUAAGAGAUAGGUAGAAAAAAAAAAGUUCAAAAUGAAAUAAAUAAACCGAGGAACAAAAGAAAACAUAUUCUUCUAACGUAAUCUGUAUGCCGACGAAAUGCGAUUUCUCUUCAUUGAAGUAAAAGUAAAUAUCUUCGAGUUACCAGAAUAAAUUAAAACGAAGCGAAAAAAAUUGCCACUCGAAAUUAAAUUCUUGACGUACUGGAAAUUCUUUUUAGGCCGGAGUUUCGUUUAGAAAUUCUGAAACUAACAAUUGCGCCGAUUCAAACACCAAAAUUUAUAACUGCUUGUAUUUUUAAACAGCAGUUUUUAUCGUGUAAGUGGAACACACUGUACGUUAAUUGGAUCACGAGCGCCGGUUAAAUCCGCUAAAUUAUGUAGUUAUUUUCUAUUUUACAAAAAACGUUACCGGUGUCGGAACGUUUUGACUUUUAUUUUGUAUUUAAUUUUGUAAACCGUUUGAAUAAAAUCGUGUAACUAUACCUAAAA